rnacentral:lncRNA from 1 species
GAUAGAAAUUUUCCCAACCAGGAUCAAAAGUUCGGAGGUCUGAGACAACAAGAUAACACUUCAUACUAGACAUACAUAUAUGCGAGGUUCAAUUGCUAGAAAUGCGAUUGCCAAAAAAAGAGUUCAUAAUAAUUAGGCUAAGAAUAUUUAAAGAGUCAAAUCUCAAGAGAUAUCCACCUAAGUGAAUAUUAUGGCAGCGGAAAUUAUUAUAUGGAACUACAGCAACAUCCUCCCUCAGCCUCGCACAACACCACCUGCCGCUUAACCUGCAAAAGGUUUUGAAAACAAUUGCAGGGCUGAGUACUAAUAUACUCAGUGGGUUUAGCCAUUUGAAAACAUUUGAAAAUCCAUUUAAAAGAAUAAUCCAUGCUAUGAGCAGUAUAACAUAGAAAUAUUUGAAAACAUUCCAUGCAUACUUAAAAUAAAUUUGUGGAUCCAUUUCCAGUUUUCUCUCUAUUGGUGCUUCACCUAUAACGUGAACAUGUGGGAGCAGCCCACAUAGGUCCACUACCAUGCAUGUUUCAGAAAUGGGAGUAACCCAAGUCUGACAGUCUGAGGCAAGUGGGAGCAGCCCACAAUACCCCUUUGUGUGUACACAAUCCUAACCAGGGCGAUCCAAUCGCUACGCCGGCUAGGACCCGAUCGUUAGAUAACAUAGGAGCACUUUAAACAAUAGAGAUAUACGAAACAUUUUAACAUGGAUAUUCAUUUGCAUUUGCAUAAUACAAGUAGAGUUCAAUAACUCAAAGUAUACUUUGGAAAAUAAAACCCACCUCGAUAGGACAAGCCUGUAGAUUAAAAGAUGCACAAAUUCUCUUGCCCUGUAAAGCCAAUGCUAAAGCCUUCUAUCAAGUGGACCUACAAGAUAAUCUAAUCUUAAUAGGCCUUAAAAUAUCGCAUGAACUAACGAUUCUACAAAGCUGCUAAAAUCUUAAUAUUCUGCGACCCGAAUUUUUCAAAAACUCAAUUUGAAAAUUUUUAAAAAUCGAAAUUAUCAAAAAUAUUUUUAUUGCAUUAUUCACUAUGCAAAUUCAUAUCAUAUCUCAAAAUCACCUAAGGUAAAUAAUUACACUUAAUAAAAUAAAUAGUCAUAUUAAUAUAUCAAUUGAUUAAGAUCUUAACUAAAUAAUUUUAAGUAAAGCAUGAUUUAACAAAAAUUAAAUCAGCCCAACAUAUAAAAAUAAAUAAAAGCAGCCCAAUUCUUUUAUUAAAUCAGUCCAUGUUAAAUCAUAAUAUAGGCCCAAAAUUAAUAGCCCAAUACUAAAAACUCUAGCCCACAACCCAUCUUCUUUAUUAAAAGAAACAUCACACACACAGCACAGACGCACGCACACACACACACACCCAGACGCACCCCCCCUCUCUCUCCCUUUCAUGCUGCCGCCGCCGCCGCCUGACGGCGGCGCCGCCCGACGGAGGCCGGCAGCCCGCCCCCCUCCCCUCUCUCUUCUCCGACUUCUCUCUUUUCUCCUCUCUCUCCCUUUUCUCCCAGCCCUCUCUCUUCUCCUCCAUCUCUCCCUCUUCUCCGUCGACGGCAGCGGAAGCCACCGCCGGCGCCGCAUCGACCGCAGCACAGCAGCAGCCGCCGCCUCCCCUUCACUCGUCUCCCUCUUGACCGGCAGCAGUAGCUGCCUCCGCCGUCCCUGCGCGGAGCAGCGCCGCUGCCUCUCAUUUCUUCCAGAUCUGACACCGCCGGCGUCGUGUCGACAGCAGCACGGCAGCAGCUGCCGCCUCCUCUUCUUUCUUCCUCUCGGCCGGGCGAGCAGCAGCACCCCGAAGGACCGCCGCGCCGCCGUCCUCGCCACCACCACCUCCGAUUCUCCCUCUCAAUCUGCCGCUGCUCCUCUCCUUUCCUCCAGAUUCGGCGACGCCGUCGCCCUCGCUUCGUCCGACAACAGCACAGCAGCGCCGCCGCCGUGGCAGACGGCCUCCUCCCUCUUGCCACGCCGAGCAGCCGCUCGCCUUCUCCGGCUACCAAUCGACGCCCAACACCCCUCCCCAAAUCAUCUCAAAACCCUCUAUCACAUUUUAGUCUUCUAUUUCAUUUGAAAUGGUGUUGAGAAAUUUUUAAUCUUUUCUAAAAAAAAAAUUCAAUCUUUCUUAUGCAAAAAUUCAGUCUUUUCUUAUGCAUUGGAAAAAAAAGCACUUGAGAAAUAUACUUACAGACUGUGUAUUUUCUUGAAGGGAUGCUUGUGAUUUGAAUGAAUUUUUGGAGAGGAAAGAAAGCUGAUGAUAAUUGGAUUUUCUGUGAAUGAUCUGAUCUUGAGUUUUGGCAAAUUUAUUUCAUGAGAGAAAAAUGCAUGUAAAGUGAUUGGUUCAAAAUGUGGUGAGUUGCAGAUGCAUGUAAAGUG